rnacentral:rRNA from 1 species
AUGGCGGGCUACUACAACGGCGGCGGCAGGACCAUGUCCUACUCCAACACCGACGAGUGCUUCGACGGCGGCAGGACCAUGUACUCCAACACCACCGAGGAGUGCUACGACGCCGGCAAGCACGGCCACGGCCACGGCCACGGCCACGGCCACGGCCAUGGACACGGCGGGGCAAACAUGUACGCCAACACCACUGACGUGGAGUGCUUCGACUCCGGCAGGCACGGCCACGGCGGUGGCGGCAGGACCAUGUACUCCAACACCGUCGACGAGGAGUGCUUCGACUCCGGCAGGCACGGGCAUGGGCAUGGGCACGGCCACGGCCACGGCUACGGGCACAACGACGGCAGGGCUAUGUCCUACUCCACCACCACCGAGGAGUGUUUCGGAGGAGGCGAGCAGGGGCAGGGGUACUACAAGAAGGAAGUGCAGCAGCACAAGAACAGGGAGCGCGUCGGCGAGGUCGGCGCCCUCGCCGCCGGUGCCUUCGCGCUGUACGAGGGGUACGAGGUGAAGAAGGACCCGGCGCACGCGAGGAAGCACCAGAUCGAGGCCGGCGUGGCCGGGGCGGCGGCCCUCGGCGCCGGCGGCUACGCGUACCACGAGCACCGCGAGCAGAAGCAGGCCGCGUACGGCGGGCAGCAGGAGUACAGGAUGCCCGUCCACAACAGCUACUGCAACUGA